CUAAGGCGGAGGGAUGGAUGCUGGAAAGCUCUGUAAAAAAGCCGAGUUUAAGGCAAUUGAUGUCGGAAGCGACGGCUCUGAAGUUCACGACUCCUGGAGGGGAGGGGAGUGAAAGGCUUUCAAAGAAGAAGGUACCGUAAAUUCAGCGGUAUGGCGGCGUGGGAAAUGGAAUGAAAUGGUAGUGUGGGCUGAAGAUCAUACGAGAAGAAAGGAACAAAAAAGGAAAGGUGAUCAUUGACCAUCUUCUGAAGCUCUCAGGAUGAAGAUGUCAGUUCUCCAGUUCUGUUUUCAAAUGCCUCAAGUCCAAGAUGCAAAAGAAAAACCUCUUCCCCAGAUGUUUCUGGAGCCUUCUCUGCUCAACACUUGAAAGGUUUUGAAAAAUAUUUCCUAGGGGAUGGCCUUUCACUUACUCGUCUCUCAGGAAUGACUCAUCUCCAAGAAUACUGAGCCUUUCCGCUGCUGCACAAGCAUGAUCCCAUCUAGAAAUGCCUCUAGACUGUGCACUGAGCCACUGCCCCAUGCGGCGCCAGGGGGGAAGGGUUUCUCUCUUUCAACCUUUCCUUUCUGGGCACAGCAUGGCGAUCACCGCUUUUUGAGCACAAAAUGGAGCAGCUCGAAGAAAUGCCUCUAGACUGUGAACUGAGCCACUGCCCCAUGCGGCGCCAGGGGCAGAGGGUUUCUCUCUCUCAACCCUUCUGUUCCGGUCACAGCAUGGUGAGCACCGCUUUUUGAGCACAAAAUGGAGGUACCAGCUGGCUGCUGUGGGACCGCGCGGGAGAUCCCCGGGGUUGGGGGGUACCGGCCCCACCCUCCACCAAGAUUUAAGUGCAGCGGCCACGUGUGUGGCCUUUCCGCUGCUGCACAAGCAUGAUCCCGGAGGCCAACUGAACUACUUUGAACACCAGCAGCUCACCGACAUGCCUCUAGACUGUGAACUGAGCCACUGCCCCAUGCGGCGCCAGGCGGAUAGGGUUUCUCUCUCCGGGCUCUUUCAUCUUAUGAGCACCACAAAAGUGAAGUAAAAGCUUGCAGUGAUGCAAUUUCUGGCAGAAUUUUCCCUGGACUUUAUACAGAAAUCCAAAACCACGUGGCCACUGUUGUGGCUGCGCGACCUAAUAUCUCUUAAUUGUCAGCAAUGUGAAACGGUUCCUUUUUAGCGGGUCUGACUUUGGGGGAAACUCCAAACAAUAAUAGUGAGUUUUUUGUUGAAAUAUUGAAGGAAAUCAAAGUAGCAGCCAUGUCUCUAGACUGUAAACUAAGCCAUAGCCCCACACUAGCCAAGGAGAGGAAAUAUCCUUCUUUCUUGGUUUUUUUUCCCUUUUCAGGGAGAAGUGGUGUGGCGUCCGCCAUAUUAUGAGGUCUAUCAAGCAGGCACGAACUUGGGGGCGCGGGAAGGAGAAAAAAAAGGGUUAUGUACUUGGAACAGUGGGACUUCAUAUCUCUUCAUUCUCAGCAAUGGAAAAUUAAUUAUCAAAUGCUUCCUUGGCAGUAGGGCUGUCUUUUUUGAGGGGAAACUCCAAUAACAAUAGUGAGUUUUGUGUUGAAAUAUGGAAUGUAAUCAAGAUAAAGAGAAAAUGAAG